rnacentral:rRNA from 1 species
UGAUCCUGGCUCAGAUUGAACGCUGGCGGCAGGCCUAACACAUGCAAGUCGAGCGGAUGAAGGGAGCUUGCUCCUGGAUUCAGCGGCGGACGGGUGAGUAAUGCCUAGGAAUCUGCCUGGUAGUGGGGGAUAACGUCCGGAAACGGGCGCUAAUACCGCAUACGUCCUGAGGGAGAAAGUGGGGGAUCUUCGGACCUCACGCUAUCAGAUGAGCCUAGGUCGGAUUAGCUAGUUGGUGGGGUAAAGGCCUACCAAGGCGACGAUCCGUAACUGGUCUGAGAGGAUGAUCAGUCACACUGGAACUGAGACACGGUCCAGACUCCUACGGGAGGCAGCAGUGGGGAAUAUUGGACAAUGGGCGAAAGCCUGAUCCAGCCAUGCCGCGUGUGUGAAGAAGGUCUUCGGAUUGUAAAGCACUUUAAGUUGGGAGGAAGGGCAGUAAGUUAAUACCUUGCUGUUUUGACGUUACCAACAGAAUAAGCACCGGCUAACUUCGUGCCAGCAGCCGCGGUAAUACGAAGGGUGCAAGCGUUAAUCGGAAUUACUGGGCGUAAAGCGCGCGUAGGUGGUUCAGCAAGUUGGAUGUGAAAUCCCCGGGCUCAACCUGGGAACUGCAUCCAAAACUACUGAGCUAGAGUACGGUAGAGGGUGGUGGAAUUUCCUGUGUAGCGGUGAAAUGCGUAGAUAUAGGAAGGAACACCAGUGGCGAAGGCGACCACCUGGACUGAUACGACGGUGAGCCGCACC